rnacentral:rRNA from 1 species
UACGUAGGGAGCAAGCGUUGUUCGGAUUUACUGGGCGUAAAGGGCGCGUAGGCGGCAAAUUAAGUCAGCUGUGAAAUCUCCGAGCUUAACUCGGAACGGUCAAGUGAUACUGUCGGACUAGAGUACAGAAGGGGCAACUGGAAUUCUCGGUGUAGCGGUGAAAUGCGUAGAGAUCAGGAAGAACACCGGUGGCGAAAGCGUUCUGCUAGACCUGUACUGACACUGAGGGACGAAAGCUAGGGGAGCGAAUGGG